AUUGAACGCUGGCGGCAGGCCUAACACAUGCAAGUCGAACGGUAACAGGAAGCAGCUUGCUGCUUCGCUGACGAGUGGCGGACGGGUGAGUAAUGUCUGGGAAACUGCCUGAUGGAGGGGGAUAACUACUGGAAACGGUAGCUAAUACCGCAUAACGUCGCAAGACCAAAGAGGGGGACCUUCGGGCCUCUUGCCAUCGGAUGUGCCCAGAUGGGAUUAGCUAGUAGGUGGGGUAACGGCUCACCUAGGCGACGAUCCCUAGCUGGUCUGAGAGGAUGACCAGCCACACUGGAACUGAGACACGGUCCAGACUCCUACGGGAGGCAGCAGUGGGGAAUAUUGCACAAUGGGCGCAAGCCUGAUGCAGCCAUGCCGCGUGUAUGAAGAAGGCCUUCGGGUUGUAAAGUACUUUCAGCGGGGAGGAAGGCGACAGGGUUAAUAACCCUGUCGAUUGACGUUACCCGCANAAGAAGCACCGGCUAACUUNCGUGCCAGCAGCCCGCGGUAAUACCGGAGGGUGCAAAGCCGUUUAAUUCGG
rnacentral:rRNA from 1 species